rnacentral:lncRNA from 1 species
AUGACAAGCAUCACACUCAGCAUUAAACUGUUCUAAAAUGUUGCUUUAAGAUGAAAAAGCAGAUACAGUUCUUUGGUCAGCAGUUGGUGGCGUGGGCACAGGUCUGGAGACCUGCCAGCCUCCAGGCAGGCUAGAGGGCAGGUGUGGGCAGUUAGUUUUGUCCCUGGAGCCUGGGAAGACGGUGAGUGACCAGAGAGUCCUGUCUAUCCUAAGAGGAGAACAUUCAGCCCAAAUCCCAGCCCCAUUACGCACAGAUCAGAGCCAUUUCUGAAAAUGUCGCUGCUGAUUCUGCUUUUCCUGGGAUUGGCAGAAGCCUGUACGUUGCAACUAAAGAAAAAAGUAAGAACCGUGGAAC